rnacentral:rRNA from 1 species
GAUGAACGCUAGCUACAGGCCUAACACAUGCAAGUCGAGGGGGCAGCACAGGUAGCAAUACCGGGUGGCGACCGGCGCACGGGUGAGUAACGCGUAUGCAACUUACCUAUCAGAGGGGGAUAACCCGGCGAAAGUCGGACUAAUACCGCAUGAAGCAGGGGUCCCGCAUGGGGAUAUUUGCUAAAGAUUCAUCGCUGAUAGAUAGGCAUGCGUUCCAUUAGGCAGGUUGGCGGGGUAACGGCCCACCAAACCGACGAUGGGGUAGGGGUUCUGAGA